rnacentral:lncRNA from 1 species
AUCAUUGACAUUUAAACUCUGGGGCAGGUCCUCGCGUAGAACGCGGCUGUCAGAUCUGCCACUUCCCCUGCCGAGCGGCGGUGAGAAGUGUGGGAACCGGCGCUGCCAGGCUCACCUGCCUCCCCGCCCUCCGCUCCCAGGAAUCUGAGAAUUGCUCUCACACACCAACCCAGCAACAUCCGUGGAGAAAACUCUCACCAGCAACUCCUUUAAAACACCGUCAUUUCAAACCAUUGUGGUCUUCAAGCAACAACAGCAGCACAAAAAACCCCAACCAAACAAAACUCUUGACAGAAGCUGUGACAACCAGAAAGGAUGCCUCAUAAAGGGGGAAGACUUUAACUAGGGGCGCGCAGAUGUGUGAGGCCUUUUAUUGUGAGAGUGGACAGACAUCCGAGAUUUCAGAGCCCCAUAUUCGAGCCCCGUGGAAUCCCGCGGCCCCCAGCCAGAGCCAGCAUGCAGAACAGUAAGUGCCUCUGGUCUUUCUGGGACUUCGGGCUCGGGGUGCGCGGACCCGAGGGUCA